CCCCUCCACGGAGCCCCCGCGCCUCUGCUAGUGUCUUUGUGCCUCUUGUCAUGGUGUGGGCUGCCAGGCGUAAUUGUUCAUGUCACGUAUGUAUCUCCCCGGCACCUUUCCAACACAAGGUCAGGUCUGGAAAGCAUCCAUGGCUGUGAUCCAAUGCACUGCAGUCCCGUGGGGUGAGCCCUGACCCUUCCCAGUGGCAUAGGUGCCCUGGGCUCCCCUGGCUCCCACUGGUGUCUGACGACCAUCAGGUCUCAGACGGUGAAGUCAUUGCCAUGGCCGAGUAGAAACUUGAGAAGGCGUUGGGCACAGGCGUCUCGAGAGGGCCAUGGGCAGCAGGCCUGCAGGUGCGAGGCGUCCAGGGAAAGUGGGCCAGCGAGUGUUCAGAGUCGCCCAUGUGACAGAACUCUCAAGGGGUGUUGAAAAGUGAGGGCCGGCCUCCUUGAAUAAAUGCAGACAGAUCCACAGGUGAGGAGUGAACUGUUGAAGGAGGACAGCAGCGAGGCUGGUUACCAGACUGGACCCGUUGGUGUCCGGCCCUCACCACACGGUGACCUGAACUCACUGUGGCUCUGGUCCCAGACAGCUGUAGGGCUUCUCCAGACGCUGGCAGUGUGGUUGGAGCUCAUCUUUAAGGUAGCAUAGAGAAUUCAACAGGGAACAUCCAGAAUGGACAAGUCAAAAAACAACAAUAGAAGCCCCUUACGACUGAGGUGCCUUCCGGAAGAAACUGCUGGAAAGUUGGAAAUGGGGGCUGUGGAAUGAAGGAAAGCAGAUGAGGUGUGUCCCGUCCCUGACACCUGCGUCCACUCUGUCCCUUCUCGGCAGCCCCCAGGCAGGGGCAGAUGGGCUCUGUCUUCGGGGGGCUGCAGGGGCCUGCUUUCCUCACGAGUUCCACCUGCAGAGGCCCAGGCAUUAUCCACGCUGCGGGAAGAGGCAGUAGCCACAAGCAGAACACAGCCCCCCUCCUGGAGCCCAUGGCCCAGGUGGUAAGGGGUGGCCGGUGUGGGGGGUCCCCUGGAGCAGCUGGGCCCAGUCCCUGUGAGCGCUGCUGUCAGCCUGAAGGUGGUGAGGGGAGGGAGCCCCGGGAGUACCUGGAAGACGCGUGCCCCAGGCAUGAGGCCCCCUCGGGGCCCCACCGGCCCCAUGCCCAGGUGCCCCAGGUGCCAGUGUGACUGGGCAGUCUCCCUUGGCUGCCCCGUGUUCACUCAGCUGGUGGAGCAGAUGAGUCUCUGAGCAUCUUGGGGUUGGCAGCGGUCGCAACUUGUGAUCACAGAACACAGAUUCCGAGAAGCACUUGAGAUUCUGUUCAGGUUUUCAAAGACGCGUGUGUGCGUGCCCUGGCGGCGCAGCAGAUCCCACUUCUGACCGAGGCAGGGUGUGUGUUUACACAGAUGAGCCUGGGCAGAGGGAGCCCAGAGGCCCUGGCAUGGCGCCCCCCUCCUUCCAGCACACGGAGAAGGCCUCCAUCCCUCAUAUGCCACGCUGUGACACGGUUUGGGACUGGCAGAAGAUUUAGGGCCCAGUGCACAGGCUCCUGGGCAGGCGGGAAACCAUCUCCCGAAAGCAGAAAACGUUGGCCACACGGUGGCAGCAGUCCCUCAGGCGUCCUGGUCGUUUCUGGUUGUCGCAAGUGGACUCCUCUUCCUUUGGGAGGCUGGAUCUGUCUUCCUCCUCUCACUGUGAGCAGAGGGAGGGAGAGCUAGCAGAGCCUGAGCUAGGGCCGGGAUCUAAUGACCGCCCUCUGCCUGUCCUUGGGCCCUGAAACCAGGGGCUCUUCACACACAUGCAGCUGUGAUUUCAGAGCCGGUCUCACUUCCUAUUGGCGGUGCCGGGCCAGGACAGAGUUGGACAGAGCUGUGGAAAAUGGGUCUCCAAUACUAUCUUGUUUUGAUUCCAGCGUUCCAUCAGCUGCCUUCAUGACACUUGUACAGCCGCAUUCUGAGCUCAACCCUGACCUUGCAGCUCUGUUUUUCCUUUUUGGUUACCUAUCUGUUUUUCAAGAACAACAUUGUGGAUAUAAAUAAAAUGCUAAGGGAAAUGAAA
rnacentral:lncRNA from 1 species